UAUUUCAGAAUUAAGUAGUCUUGGUGGUGAUACGACUGUCCGAAUACAAGAUAACGGAGAAGUACGAUGGGAACUACCCGCCGUUUUGUCUACAUCAUGUGACAUGGACGUCACUUACUUCCCUUAUGACAGUCAAAGUUGUGACAUAGAAGUAGCUAGCUGGGGAUUUCAUACAGACGCUGUUCAGUUAAUAUUCUUGAAGACGAAUUUGAAUUUACAAGACUAUAGAACAAAUGGCGAAUUUGACCUUGUAGCAACUUCUCAGCAUUCAUCAGAAUUGAUUGAAGACGGCCUGGCAUAUUCGGAACUUUUGUUCCGAAUAGUGUUUGAGAGGCUUCCGGGUCACUACAUAAUGAGUGUUAUAUUUCCAGUUAUAGUUACUGCCGUAUUAACAUCCGUUACGUUUAUUCUACCUGUUGAGUCCGGU
rnacentral:lncRNA from 1 species